UCCCUGGUCGUCCGCUGGUGAAGACUCCACGCUUUCACUGUGGUGGGUACAGGUUCAAUCCCAGGCCAGGGAA
rnacentral:tRNA from 1 species